rnacentral:rRNA from 1 species
UACAGAGGGUGCGAGCGUUAAUCGGAAUUACUGGGCGUAAAGCGUGCGUAGACGGUAGCGUAAGUCAGAUGUGAAAGCCCCGGGCUCAACCUGGGAAUUGCGAUGGAGACUGCAAGGCUAGAAUCUGGCAGAGGGGGGUAGAAUUCCACGUGUAGCAGUGAAAUGCGUAGAUAUGUGGAGGAACACCGAUGGCGAAGGCAGCCCCCUGGGUCAAAACUGACGCUCAUGCACGAAAGCGUGGGGAGCAAACAGG